UACGGGGGGGGUAAGCGUUGUUCGGAAUUACUGGGCGUAAAGGGCUCGUAGGCGGCCAACUAAGUCAUACGUGAAAUCCCUCAGCUUAACUGGGGAACUGCGUGUGAUACUGGAUGGCUUGGAUUUGGGAGAGGGAUGCGGAAUUCCAGGUGUAGCGGUGAAAUGCGCAGAUAUCAGGAGGAACACCGGUGGCGAAGGCGGAUCUCUGGGCCUUACCUGACGCUCAGGUGCGAAAGCUAGGGGAGCGAACAGG
rnacentral:rRNA from 1 species